AUUGAACGCUGGCGGCAUGCUUUACACAUGCAAGUCGAACGGCAGCGCGGGCUUCGGCCUGGCGGCGAGUGGCGAACGGGUGAGUAAUGCAUCGGAACGUGCCCAGUAGUGGGGGAUAGCCCGGCGAAAGCCGGAUUAAUACCGCAUACGACCUGAGGGUGAAAGCGGGGGACCGAAAGGCCUCGCGCUAUUGGAGCGGCCGAUGUCGGAUUAGCUAGUUGGUGGGGUAAAGGCUUACCAAGGCGACGAUCCGUAGCUGGUCUGAGAGGACGACCAGCCACACUGGGACUGAGACACGGCCCAGACUCCUACGGGAGGCAGCAGUGGGGAAUGUUGGACAAUGGGGGAAACCCUGAUCCAGCCAUGCCGCGUGCGGGAAGAAGGCCUUCGGGUUGUAAACCGCUUUUGUUCGGGAAGAAAUCCUCUGGGCUAAUACCCCGGGGGGAUGACGGUACCGGAAGAAUAAGCACCGGCUAACUACGUG
rnacentral:rRNA from 1 species